AGUCCCGUAGUGUAGAGGCCCAGCAUACUUGGUUUUGGUCCAAGUGACCCAGGUUCAAAUCCUGGCGGGACUA
rnacentral:tRNA from 1 species